CCUACGGGAGGCUGCAGUGAGGAAUAUUGGUCAAUGGGCGCGAGCCUGAACCAGCCAAGCAGCGUGAAGGAUGACUGCCCUACGGGUUGUAAACUUCUUUUAUAAAGGAAUAAAGUGAGGCACGUGUGCCUUUCUGAAUGUACCUUAUGAAUAAGGAUCGGCUAACUCCGUGUCAGCAGCCGCGGUAAUACGGAGGAUUCGAGCGUUAUCCGGAUUUAUUGGGUUUAAAGGGAGCGUAGAUGGGUUGUUAAGUCAGUUGUGAAAGUUUGCGGCUCAACCGUAAAAUUGCAAUUGAUACUGGCAGUCUUGAGUGCAGUUGAGGUAGGCGGAAUUCGUGGUGUAGCGGUGAAAUGCUUAGAUAUCACACAGUACUCCGAUUGCGAAGGCAGCUUACUAAGCUGCCACUGACAUUGAUGCUCGAAAGUGUGGGUAUCAAACAGGAUUAGAUACCCCAGUAGUC
rnacentral:rRNA from 1 species